rnacentral:rRNA from 1 species
AUUGAACGCUGGCGGCAGGCUUAACACAUGCAAGUCGAGCGGGGGAAGGUAGCUUGCUACCGGACCUAGCGGCGGACGGGUGAGUAAUGCUUAGGAAUCUGCCUAUUAGUGGGGGACAACAUCUCAAAAGGGAUGCUAAUACCGCAUACGUCCUACGGGAGAAAGCAGGGGAUCUUCGGACCUUGCGCUAAUAGAUGAGCCUAAGUCGGAUUAGCUAGUUGGUGGGGUAAAGGCCUACCAAGGCGACGAUCUGUAGCGGGUCUGAGAGGAUGAUCCGCCACACUGGGACUGAGACACGGCCCAGAGUCCAACGGGAGGCAGCAGUGGGGAAUAUUGGACAAUGGGGGGAACCCUGAUCCAGCCAUGCCGCGUGUGUGAAGAAGGCCUUAUGGUUGUAAAGCACUUUAAGCGAGGAGGAGGCUACUUUAGUUAAUACCUAGAGAUAGUGGACGUUACUCGCAGAAUAAGCACCGGCUAACUCUGUGCCAGCAGCCGCCGUAA